UUUUCUCCCCCAGUUCUGAAAAGAGGUUAAAUUCGUCAGUGCAAUGCAGUGCUCACAACAGUCGUGUUAAGCAUUAACAACAUUGACGGCAAGGACUUUGGCGAAAACAGCAAAUAGUUGAAGAUAGCUCCCAGAGAGCCUGCUGAUUCUACUGAGGAGAGAGAAGGACUCUUGAAAAUCUUGAUGCCGUUAUAUCAUCCCUUUGCAAGAAGAGUACACUGAAUAUACAUAGGCUCUCAACUCUGAGGAUGCUACAGCCUGGAAAAUUGGGCUUUUGAGCAGGUGUAAAUGAGGAACCAACCAAAUGAGCAGGGACUGGCUAAGAAGAGCUGUCGUGAGAAAGGGACUGCUCUGCUAGACGCUUCCUUGAGACCAUCCCUGAAGGCUCGGACCUACGCACACUACAGCAAACCCUGCGGUUGCCUCGUAGCGUUACUUUGCCCCGCGGUCUGGCCCACGAGCUACCUCUGCGUAGUGACCGAGUGCCUCAGCAGGCUCCCUGCGCAGCCCGAGCCCGCCUUCGCUGCCAGCCAAGCCAGGCUACGAGCUGC
rnacentral:lncRNA from 1 species